CAGGGCGGACGCAUGGUCGCUCCGGCUUCAGCCGGAGAGGAAAGUCCGAACACCAAAGGGCGCGGUGGUUCCUAACGGGAACUCCGGGUAACCGGGGGAAAGUGCCACAGAAAAGACACCGCCGAUGGGACGGCUUGCCGUUCACAGGUAAGGUUGAAAUGGUGAGGUAAGAGCUCACCGCCUUUAUGGCGACAUAAAGGGCAGGGUAAACCCCACCGGGUGCAAAACCAAAUAGGGAAACGUUUGAGGGCGGUCCGUCCAAAGUUUCCGGGUAGGUUGCACGAGGUGCCGGGCAACCGGCAUCCCAGUCAAAUGAUCAUGGCCUGCUUCGGCAGGAACAGAAUUCGGCUUAUAGUCCGCCCUGUUUU
rnacentral:RNase_P_RNA from 1 species